rnacentral:lncRNA from 1 species
GUCUCGCCCCAUUCCGAGUCCGGCGGACGAAGUUGGCCAGCCCCACCCCCCAAGGCUAUAGCCCACCCGUUUUUGUGGCCUUUUUCCGCUGGACGAACUUGGCGCUCCGGCCUUCGGGCGGUUGUUUUUGGGCGCGGCUUUGUCCGCGGCCAAUUUUUGGCACACGGAGGCCCCUCGCAAAGGCUCACGGCAUUCCGAGUCCGGCGGACGAAGUUGGCCAGCCCCACCCCCCAAUGCUAUAGCCCACCCGUUUUUGUGGCCUUUUUCUGCUGGGCGAGCUUGGCGCCCCGGCCUUCAGGUGGUUAAUUUUGGGCGCGGCUUUGCUCGCGGCCUAUUUUUGGCACAUGGAGGCCCCUCGUAAAGUCUUGCGGCAUUCCGAGUCCGGCGGACGAAGUUGGCCAGCCCCACCCCCCAAUGCUAUAGCCCACCCGUUUUUGUGGCCUUUUUCUGCUGGGCGAACUUGGCGCCCCGGCCUUCAGGUGGUUAAUUUUGGGCGCGGCUUGGCUCGCGGCCUAUUUUUGGCACAUCGAGGCCCCUCGCAAAGUCUCGCGGCAUUCCGAGUCCGGCGGAUGAAGUUGGCAAGCCCCACCCCCCAAGGCUAUAGCCCACCCGUUUUUGUGGCCUUUUUCCGCUGGACGAAGAUGGCGCCCCGGCCUUCGGGCUGUUAUUUUUGGGCGCAGCUUUGCCCGUGGCCUAUUUUUUGUACACGGAGGCCCCUCGCAAAGUCUCGUCCCAUUCCGAGUCCGGCGGAGGAAGUUGGCCAGCCCCACCCCCCAAGGCUAUAGCCCACCCGUUUUUGUGGCCUUUUUCCGCUGGACGAACUUGGCGCUCCGGCCUUCGGGCGGUUGUUUUUGAGCGCGGCUUUGUCCGCGUCCAAUUUUUGGCACACGGAGGCCCCUCGCAAAGGCUCGCGGCAUUCCGAGUCCGGCGGACGAAGUGGGCCAGCCCCACCCCCCAAUGCUAUAGCCCACCCAUUUUUGUGGCCUUUUUCUGCUGGGCGAGCUUGGCGCCCCGGCCUUCAGGCGGUUAAUUUUGGGCGGGGCUUUGCUCGCGGCCUAUUUUUGGCACAUGGAGGCCCCUCGCAAAGUCUCGCGGCAUUCCGAGUCCGGCGGACGAAGUCGGCCAGCCCCACCCCCCAAGCCUAUAGCCCACCAGUUUUUGUGGCCUUUUUGCGCUGGACGAAAUUGGCGCCCCGGCCUUCGGGCAUUUAUUUUUGGGCGUGGCUUUUCCCGCGGCCUAUUUUUGGCAAACGGAGGUCCCUCGUAAAGUCUCGCGGCAUUCCGAGUCCAGCGGACGAAGUUGGACAGCCCCACCCCCCAAGGCUAUAGCCCACCCGUUUUUGUGCCCUUUUUCCGCUGGACGAACUUGGCGCCCCGGCCUUCGGGCGGUUAUUUUUGGACGCGGCUUUGCCCGCGGCCUAUUUUUGGCACACGGAGGUCCCUCGUAAAGUCUCGCGGCAUUCCGAGUCCGGCGGACGAAGUUGGCCAGCCCCACCCCCCAAGGCUAUAGCCCACCCGUUUUUGUGGCCUUUUUCCGCUGGACGAACUUGGCGCCCCGGCCUUCGGGCAGUUAUUUUUGGGCGCGGCUUUGUCCACGGCCUACUUUUGGCACACGGAGUCCCCUCGUAAAGUCUCUAGGCAUUCCGAGUCCGGCGGACGAAGUUGGCCAGCUCCACCCCCCAAGGAUAUAGCCCACCCGUUUUUGUGGCCUUUUUCCGCUGGACGAACUUGGCGCCCCUGCCUUCGGGUGGUUAUUUUUGGGCGCGGCUUUGCCCACUGCCUAUUUUUGGCACACGGAGGCCCCUCGUAAAUUCUCGCGGCAUUCCGAGUCUGGCUGACGAAGUUGGCCAGCCCCACCCCCCAAGGCUCUAGCCCACCCGUUUUUGUGGCCUUUUUCCGCUGGACGACUUGGCGCCCCGCCCUUCGGGCAGUUAUUUUUGGACACGGCUUUGCCCGCGGCCUAUUUUUGGCACACGGAGGCCCCUCGCAAAGUCUCGCGGCAUUCCGAGUCCGGCGGACGAAGUUGGCCAGCCCCACCCCCCAAGGCUAUAGCCCACCCGUUUUUGUGGCCUUUUUCCGCUGGACGAACUUGGCGCCCCGGCCUUCGGGCGGUUAUUUUUGGGUUCGGCUUUGCCCGCGGCCUACUUUUGGCACACGGAGGCCCCUCGUAAAGUCUCGCGGCAUUCCGAGUCCGGCGGACGAAGUUGGCCAGCCCCACCCCCCAAGGCUAUAGCCCACCCGUUUUUGUGGCCUUUUUCCGCUGGACGAACUUGGCGCCCCGGCCUUCGGGCAGUUAUUUUUGGGCGCGGCUUUGUCCGCGGCCUACUUUUGGCACACGGAGGCUCCUCGUAUUGUCUCGCGGCAUUCCGAGUCCGGCUGACGAAGUUGGCCAGCCCCACCCCCCAAGACUCUAGCCCACCCGUUUUUG